ACCAUGACCUACAUCGUCCCGCUGAAAAAGAGCGGUGAAUACUGAGUAUGCUAUUGUCAGGCGCGCGGUAGUCGUAGACGACUGAUAGUAUCUCGGGCAGCGUCGCGCUCACGCAGUGGUUACUACUCUAGCAGCGACAACACUUAGGACUACGGCGUCGCGUGCCAAUCGCGAUUCGGACGCGUGAGCAAGAAUUUUUUAAUUAUUCGCUAUCCCUUCGCCUUUCGCUUCCCCCGCGGGCUCUAUUUGCGUCACUUGUCACACCGGCGCUCGAGCUCGCGCGCUCACCACCACGUGACAUUGUUCGCUUAACAGCGGCAGUGGCUUCGCUCCGCUUCGCGGCGAGAUUAAUCCCCCGGCACCGUAUUACGGUAAUAACAAUUUAAAUAAGUUACGAAGCGUGGGAGCGCGCGCCGGGGAGGAACGACGAGAAGUAAGACCGGCGCGGCCAGACGCGCCAGUUGUAAAAGUUUAUUUGACAUUUAUGUAACGCGGGCGAAAACGGCGAGCUUGAACUUCGGGCCCGCAGUUAAAAUAGGAGGGACGAGAACAGUGGCCGGGCCAGAAGCAUAGGUAUCUAUAUUAUCCAGUGUAUAAUAUACUGGAUUGCUAACUUGGUGAAAUACACGGCUCCGGAAAAUGUGUACUGAACUCGCGCGCAUGUGUCGUGCAAGGAGUAUGUUGGUGAGACGAUUGUGAUGUGAAAGCUUUUGUUCUUCUAAUAUCCCAAUGUUACUACAAGCUAUCUCGUCUAAGACAUUCAGUAGUACUUGGAUCACUCAGUCAUAUGACUUGAAGGAUACAUAUACAACGACAUAUCCUUAUUUCAAACGUAACCAGUCAGUUAGAUCCUGAGGUAAUCUCCCUUUCAAUCUCAAUAUCGUUUUAACUUCUCUCAUUAGCCGCGAACGUAUUUGGAUACUUCUCCAGUCUCGAUUACGAUAUUUCUGUUUAAGUCUCCUUACCUCGUCUUUAAUAAAUGGGAUGUUAAGAUCGUGAUGAAGUAUUUCGUUUAUGACUAUCAGAGAACAUCAACAAUUAUACGAAGGAUCUUAGAUUGAAGUAUAGGAUUUCAGUAUUAAGAUUCGAGGCCGUACUUCACAAGUAGAUCCCAUAGGCCCAAAUAGGUUUAAGAAUGGCCUUGUAUAAUAGCAGCUUGUUUUCAGUUGAUGCCUGUGAUUUCCUGCCUAUCAACCAAUACAUCUUGGCCAAGUUGGUGUCCCAGUUGUUUACGCUUAGAUGUAUACCACUGCGUUCUUACCACCCAUUUGAAUUCCGUGCAAGUUGGAUAAGUCAGGUGUGAUUGGUUGAACGCACAUGAAAUGCCAGCAAAUGUUACAAGCAGUCGCGUGACAGCAGAAGAGGCGACGGAUACGGUCCCUUAUCCGCGCGCGCAGCUCCCGCGAGGCGCAAAGUUAUGAUUACGAGCGCCCACGGUGCUAAGGGACAUAAAUUUUACGGCCGCUUCGGCCGACAAGCUCGAUUGAAGUACGAAAUUGGAGCCGCCGACUGCAUGGCGUUUAAUAAGGAUUCCGUCGUAUCAGCGGAAGCCUUUUACGAGAACCUGGAAUCUGGAACUGACAAGGUCGAGGACGACAUUUCUACGGAAUAUAUACGACGUUCUAUAUGUGCUCGCUUAAAGACGAACUAAUUUUUUGCGGCGGCACAAAAGAAGAAGAGAGAGAAAGAGAGAGAAGUUCGUAAAGUUUAAAUAUAAUUGUAUCAUUUGUCGGAGCAGUAGUAUAACUCAACGAUAAGUCUUACUCUUUGAAGAAAGCAACACGUCUAAUUAAUUCACUGCGAUAUAUGUGAGGUCUCAGACAAUAUAAUCCACAUAAUUUAAAUUUUUUAUACUAUAAAAAAUAUAAUGAAGAUAUUAUAAAAUUAUUAUAAGCGACAACGCGUGAGGAAGCUUACGUUUGUAAACAAAACAUUAAAGGAAGAAACGUGCAUUCUGUUCGUUCUUAUGGUAGAUUGAUUCCUUUCGAAGAAAACAAGUAAACAGUUUUAAUUUAUAUUAAAUAUUGUUAGAUCGUCGGGAUAAUUGUUCAUUGUUAUUUUAUUCCGGCAGUAUAAAUAUAAAAUGGAAAUAAGAUACGACUAUUCAUUGAGCUUCUUUAAUCUGUCACGUUGGGCUCAUUAUCGAUCUCGCCCGAAUUUUAAUUUUGAAUUACAUGCAAAUUAGCGGAAUGAAGGUUUUCAGUAUGCAUGUUAAAGAGAGUUAUAGGGAAGGGAGUUAGUCGGUGGGGAAAUGAUAAUUAAACACUAGUGAGACAUUUCAAGUGUAGACUGUCAUAUAACAAAAAGUUGCUCUGGAGUCGUUUUCAUUGACUUUAGAACACCAAAUUAAGGUGUCAAAAUGUAAAAUUUAAA